UCUAUAAGUAAGUUCUUCUGCUCUCGUAUUGUUUGCUACU
rnacentral:sRNA from 1 species